AGUGAACGCUGGCGGUAGGCCUAACACAUGCAAGUCGAACGGCAGCACAGUAAGAGCUUGCUCUUACGGGUGGCGAGUGGCGGACGGGUGAGGAAUACAUCGGAAUCUACUUUUUCGUGGGGGAUAACGUAGGGAAACUUACGCUAAUACCGCAUACGACCUACGGGUGAAAGCAGGGGAUCUUCGGACCUUGCGCGAUUGAAUGAGCCGAUGUCGGAUUAGCUAGUUGGCGGGGUAAAGGCCCACCAAGGCGACGAUCCGUAGCUGGUCUGGGAGGAUGAUCAGCCACACUGGAACUGAGACACGGUCCAGACUCCUACGGGAGGCAGCAGUGGGGAAUAUUGGACAAAGGGCGCAAGCCUGAUCCAGCCAUACCGCGUGGGUGAAGAGGGCCUUCGGGUUGUAAAGCCCUUUUGUUGGGAAAGAAAAGCAGCAGGUUAAUACCCCGCUGUUCUGACGGUACCCAAAGAAUAAGCACCGGCUAACUUCGUG
rnacentral:rRNA from 1 species